CUAGCAACAGCUGCUGUGUACGUAGCUGACAUGCACAGCUUAAACCCUUAAACAAGAGCAAAAUGAAUCAUGAAGAAAUCUCUAAUACUAUUAUCCUGACUGCAAGACAAAAAUGCCACCUAUCAGAUAACUGGUACUAACUGAACAUCUUUUGUGAACACAAUAGAUUUUUGUGCUUUAAGCAUCUGG
rnacentral:lncRNA from 1 species